UGUGUACAGUUUGCGAUUCAGUGAAAGUCAAGAGCCAAGAAAACAGGAAUAUUGAGCGUCGUCUCUUCAGUCCGAAACCGAGAUCGUCCGGAGGGAGAAUCAUGGCGCCGCUUCUGGGUGUUAUUUUCGGUCUCCUCGCCUUCCUGGCCACGACCUGCUCGGCUGUCUCGGUCGAGGACGAGUCCUCCUCGGUCUACGGGAUCAUGGUUCUGCCGAUAAUCGCUUUCUGCCUCAUCAUCUACCUGGAGUUGCGGAGAGGACCAUGAGCAACGUAAGUCUCCAGAUAAGAAGAUGGCGAUGAAAAAGACUUUGGUGAUAUACUUCAAGGAAUUAACUCAAUACUGUGAUUCAUUAUAUUUUCCACUUUGUUUUUCCUCUUUGAUUUUCCUCUAAUUCCAUCGUUAUUUCUAUUCUUGUUUGGAUUAUUUUAUUGUUUACUUUGAUUUGUUAUCAUGAAUAAUUUUUCUUCAGUUAAAAAAAAUCUUUAAUUGUAUAGGCCUAUAUAGGCAAGGAAUGUAAGGUUAAUAAAUGUGAAUAUAUUUUUACUGCAUGCAAA